AUACUUAUUUGCUUGAAGAGAACAAAGCCCUCUGUGAAGAGAUCCAGAUGCUUCAAGCUAAAGUAGAUAAAAAUCCUGAAGUAACUCGCUUUGCAUUGGAGAAUAUAAGGCUUUUAGACCAACUUAGAAGAUUUCAAGAAUUCUAUGAAGAAGGGGAGAGAGAUAUACUCCUGGAUGAAGUAUCCAACCUUCGGGAACAGCUGCUUCAUCAUCUUGAUGGGAAAUCUAUAUGGCAUAACCAUCCAAAUGUCAAUGGCCAACCUCAGGAAGCUAUGUGCAUCAGCAACCAAGACAAUUCUCUCCAUUUAGAGU
rnacentral:misc_RNA from 1 species